CCGAGGCUCCUCAAUAGCUCUGCAAAUCGCAAGAUGGCGAAGCGAGAAAGACAACUACGAAGCUUGUACAGAUUGAAACUGCCGCAAGCAAUAAUAUUAGGCAAAAAGAUUGUGAUAUGAAGUGGGUUUUUGUGUCGCUCCAAUCUGUGUUGCUACUGUGAGUACAUGUGUGUGCAUGGUUGAAGAUGGAAAUGACGUGUGCAGUUUGGGAUUUGAACUUUGACUGAUGUACUUUACGUGUAUGUUACUAUCAGCUGACAGAUGUACAUAAUAACAUUGAUUGCAUCAAUAAACAUC